rnacentral:rRNA from 2 species
GGCGGCGUGCCUAUACAUGCAAGUCGACGCACUCUGGAACUGAUUGAAGAGCUUGCUUCUGAUUGAAGCUCAUUUGAGUGAGUGGCGGACGGGUGAGUAACACGUGGGUAACCUGCCCUAAAGUGGGGGAUAACAUUUGGAAACAGAUGCUAAUACCGCAUAAAACCUACGACCGCAUGGUGCAAGGUUGAAAGAUGGUUUCGGCUAUCACUUUAGGAUGGACCCGCGGUGCAUUAGUUAGUUGGUGAGGUAAAGGCCCACCAAGACUGUGAUGCAUAGCCGACCUGAGAGGGUAAUCGGCCACACUGGGACUGAGACACGGCCCAGACUCUACGGGAGGCAGCAGUAGGGAAUCUUCCACAAUGGACGAAAGUCUGAUGGAGCAACGCCGCGUGAGUGAAGAAGGUUUUCGGAUCGUAAAACUCUGUUGUUGGAGAAGAAUGUAUCUGAUAGUAACUGAUCAGGUAGUGACGGUAUCCAACCAGAAAGCCACGGCUAACUACGUGCCAGCAGCCGCGGUAAUACGUAGGUGGCAAGCGUUGUCCGGAUUUAUUGGGCGUAAAGCGAGCGCAGGCGGUUUUUUAAGUCUGAUGUGAAAUUCGGCUCAACCGAAGAAGUGCAUCGGAAACUGGGAAACUUGAGUGCAGAAGAGGACAGUGGAACUCCAUGUGUAGCGGUGAAAUGCGUAGAUAUAUGGAAGAACACCAGUGGCGAAGGCGGCUGUCUGGUCUGUUACUGACGCUGAGGCUCGAAAGCAUGGGUAGCAAACAGGAUUAGAUACCCUGGUAGUCCAUGCCGUAAACGAUGAGUGCUAGGUGUUGGAGGGUUUCCGCCCUUAAGUGCCGCAGUAACGCAUUAAGCACUCCGCCUGGGGAGUACGAUCGCAAGAUUGAAACUCAAAGGAAUAGACGGGGGCCGCACAAGCGGUGGAGCAUGUGGUUUAAUUCGAAGCAACGCGAAGAACCUUACCAGGUCUUGACAUCUUCUGAAAAUCUUAGAGAUAAGACGUUCUUCGGGGACAGAAUGACAGGUGGUGCAUGGUUGUCGUCAGCUCGUGUCGUGAGAUGUUGGGUUAAGUCCCGCAACGAGCGCAACCCUUAUUACUAGUUGCCAGCAUUUAGUUGGGCACUCUAGUGAGACUGCCGGUGACAAACCGGAGGAAGGUGGGGACGACGUCAAAUCAUCAUGCACCUUAUGACCUGGGCUACACACGUGCUACAAUGGAUGGUACAACGAGUAGCAAAACCGCGAGGUUAAGCUAAUCUCUUAAAACCAUUCUCAGUUCGGAUUGUAGGCUGCAACUCGCCUACAUGAAGCCGGAAUCGCUAG